GUGUGUGUGUGUGUGUGUGUGUGUGUGUUCCUUUCAAGCUAAGAGAUUUUUUUACUCCCUUUGGUAAUUCCUAAAAAUAUUUAUACCCAUUUCCCUCAAUAAUUAUUCCUUUUAUGUAUACUCUGUCUUACUGAUUGUGGGGCCUGUCUUCUCUCAUUUGGACUUUGGACUUUAGAGUUGUUUAUCCUUUCACAUAUAAUUUUUUUAUCCCAAUUUCUGUAUUUUUAAUAUUCUAGCAGCUAUUCAAUGUGUUUUUCUUUUUCUAGGCUUUAUUUACAAAGAUGCUUAGGAAAAAGAUUCUAAAAUUUUAGAAAUAAGAUUGGUUGUGUUGCAGGCAUGUAGAAGAAAAACUUUUAAUAAAAGGACUUUUAUGUUUUUGAGUUGAAUUUUACAAUUUUUGUUAUCUCUGUUGUAAUGAAUGUCCUUGGUAAUACCAACACAAAAUAAUAGUAAUAAUAAUAUAAUAUUUGAGCCUUCCUUCAUGUAAUUUUAUUUUUCUUUUAAGGAAUUAUUAGUUUAAUUAUUUUUUUUCUUAUUUAGAAAUAAUCAUACUGCCAUUUUGCAGCUAUAAAACUAAAAUAGUCUUAAGUUUAUAGAUCAAGUAAAAGGGAGAAAAGCAAAUCUAUCAUCUAAUUUUAGAUUAUACACAAAUUAUUAAAUCUUUUUAAGAUAAAAAGAUAGCAUGGGACAAAGAUAUUUUGGUAUAGAUUGAAAGCUAUCUUUCCUGAAAGAAGAAUGAUGAAUCCAAGAAUGUAGCUUCACUUUAAAAAUGUGUGCCAGUGUUUAUUUAGAAUCCCUUCUCUGUUUUAUUAGACAGGAACAGUCAUUUCACCAGCAGGAAUUAUGUGUGCUCUCAAUACAAGUUUACUACCCAUACAAUUGUCGUCCUUUGUAGAUAUUUUGGAUCCAAAGAAGGAAUCCAAAUGAGAAGAAGCCUCCAUACCCUGAUAAUUCAUUUAAGUCCCAUUCAACUACGAGAGCUUCCACGGGAGGAGAAGUUGCUAGUCCUCCUGGCUGGCCCUAUGUUUAUUUCAGUGCUCUAAAGAACUCUGUAUGCUGGGCAACUGUGCUUGGUUGUGUCAGGCUGCUGGACAAGAGUUGAUGCUCACAGCUCCGCUGACCAAGGCUGCUUUACUGAAGCUCACUGGGCGCCCAUCAAUCACAAAGUGGCGGAUGCAGCCUGUGAAGGGUUUUCCGGGGGCCAAGCGUGGUGUCAGUAGUGAUUCUGAAAAGAGAAAGAAAACAAAAUUUGCAAUGGAGGUAUUCCAAGCCCAAUUAUAACUUCCUGGUAGAGGAUAAAAAUAAUAAUUGCUCAUAUCAUCAAAAUGAUUUGUAUGUUAAAAAUGGAAUAUAGUUAGGAUUGACUCUCAGGAACAUCAUCUGCUUCUGAAGUAAUAUGAACAUUAUGGUAAUUUUAUUGUUUUGCCUGGCUUUCCGUAAUCAAAUUUCUGUGUAUAUUGUAGCUAUCUUCCAAGGUGAAAAUUUACCAUUUACACAAAGCUUCAGCUGUGAAUUUUCAUAAUCUACCUAUGCUUUUUAGAGUUAAUUUCACCUGGGCUUCAAUUAUUUUCUCUGCUUUGUUGAGAAGGGGGAAAGACAUUUUAGAUUCCACACUACUUUGGGACAUAAUGUUAAUUCAUCUCAUUACUCUUCAUCUUCAAACUAUUUUUUGCCAAGCUCAUGAAAUAUAAUGAGAAAAUAAUGAAUUCAAGUAAACUAAAAUUUAAUUUUCCUGAGUUCAGGGCUUAAGAACUAUAAAUAGGGUAGUGAUAACUAGCCUAGUCUUUGUGUGAGCACAGGUGCCCUGUGGUAUGCCAGGUGGACUCUCUCUCCUUAUCUUAAUUAGACAUAGAAGAAGCCUAUGUUUAUUAAUUGUACAGACAUGGUUAAACGUGUUGGGAUGAUAGCAAUAUAAUAUAAAGCAAUUCAGAGAGCUUAGAAGUAUCACAAAAUUAAAAUCUAUUUAGUCAAAGCUUCUUAGGUACAAACAACUAUGUGAGCAGUAACAGAUAAAAGGUGAAAAACACUUAGAAAUCAGUAACUUGGGAAAGAACAUAAAAUAGGUCAGCAAAUUAAACAUCAAGCAGCUGUAAUAAAUUUUCUAAGCAAUGAAGAGUUAUAAUGUGCAGAAGUUGUGUACUGAAAAUCACAGAAAUAGCAUUUCAUACUUAGAAUGAUAAUCAUUGAGUUUUAGAUUUGGAAGGGGCCUGGGAGAUCAGUUCCCUGUAUUUGCCUCAAGAUUAGUAUGAAAAAAAAUAUUCUUCAAGUCUGCUUUUUAUAUUUCAUCAGAAUAAAAAUGAGUGAAUAGGGAAGAUUAUAAGGAGUAGAAACAUCUAAUGCUUUGGCCCACAUUGUAGACUAUAUUUAGAACAUGGGUUUUGAUUCUGCCCAAGUUUUCCACCCUUUGGUUCAUGGAAGAAAUCAUGUGGAGAAAAUAAUUGAUACAGCAAUUAUGGUUUGCAUUAACAUAUCACACAAUUAAUUGUAAGUAGUGACAUAAAGGUUCCUCAGGACCCUAAGUAAUUGAUUGAUAAAGUCAAUGCAUGUUUUUAAGAGGGAACAUUUUCAAUUUCCUAUGACUAUAUUAUAAAGAAGAAUUCAUAAAAGAAAAGUGAAUGGUUAGAUCCAUGUGUGGGCUCCAUUAAAGUUUUUUCUAAUUUUCACCUUUAAUUUUUAAAUUAUCAUACAAUGAAGUUGACUCUUUUUGUAUAGAAGUUUUAUGAAUUUUAUUCAUUAUUUUUUUGGUGGUAGAAAUAAUGCGUCAGCAGAGUUCUGAGUGGUAUGACUGACUGGGAUUCCAAGAGAAUUCAGGGUACAUAGGGGUUUUAUUAAUGCCCUGGUUUCUGAUGUGAUUUCGAUAGAAUUAAUAUGGAAUAGCUCAAAAUGAUAUAAUUAAUUACAUUCAACUUAAAUUAUAAUUGCUUUUGUUCUAUGCUUGCUGGCAUGUUUCCUAGAUAGAAUUAAAAGCUGCAAUGUGGCAGUGGGUUGGUGGUUAGAACACCCUACCCUGCUAGUUCCUGUGUGUUGGCUCAUUAGCUAAAAUUUGCUAUUAUGUUUUGGACAGGCUGAAUUUGAUGUUAGGUACAUCUUGUCCACCUAGUCUGUAGAACUUAUUGGAAGCAGUGUGUGAUGGAUGCUAGGAUCAGAUUGUAAAAACAAACCAACAAAAAUCAAAGAGAAAUAUUUGUUUGAAUGAUGGGUAAGCACUUGGGGUACAGAGGGAAGAACAAACACUGUAACUUCCAGGAUGAAAGCCUAUGCUUGUUUUAUCCACAUCCUGGGGGCCUAGCACAGUGCUUAUUAGACCCUCCAUAAGGCUCUAUGUUGAGUGAAAUCAUGGUCCUUGGCAGCAAGGGGUGUACUGCUUAGCUUUGACAGCAUUUUCUGAUAAUGCUACAACACUGGUAUGCAUACACAUCCUCAGGAGAUGGGCAUGUGUAAAUAAAAGCCCAAGCUGAAUCCUAAAGGGGUCAGUAAGGAAUUAGGUUGGGGGGGGGGAGUGGGAGAAGCUGUUCUCUAUAAAGGUACUAGAGGAAGAAAAAAAGAAUAUUUUUCAGAAACUGUAGCCCUGUGUACUUGUGUAAAAGCCUGGAGCUAAGAGAGCACCAUUGAAAAUUUAGGAAACUUCAAGUUCCAGAAGGUAUGGGGAGAUCCCAGAGGUAGGUGGAAGGUGGGGACAGAUGAUCAGGGACCUUGCUUGUUAUUCUGAAUUUGAUCCUGUGGACCCUUAGGAACCUGUGAAGUAUUUUAAACUACAUUGUAAUUUUUAGGAAGGAAGCAAUACUCAGAAAUAUAAGGAAGGAUGUGAGACAUUUUUCACACUCUAUCUGCAUGAAGUGAAAUAGAGACCUUUGCUGAAUUCCUUUCAGAACCAAAGCCAGGAACUGGACAACAGAACUAGGGAAUGGCAAUGGGAGGUGGGUAGGGAAGUGAAAAAAAGGAAAGGUUGCUUUGUGAGGGUCUUAAGUAUUUCUUUUGAUCCCUGAUUUGCUAUCAUUGUUAAAACUGACCUUUGAAAUAUUUGCAUUACAAAGGAGAGGAGUACUUAAUUACUACUAUUUUGGGGACCCAAGUUGAGAUGCUUUAUUUGAUCUAUGCUUUUUCAUUCUCUUGGCUGUCUUGAUGUGGGUAAAUCUAAGAUAAUCUAGUUAGGAGACUAUUAAAAUCUCCACCAAAUUCCAGAUGCAGAAAUUAUAUAUAUAUAUUCUAUUCCUCACAGCUUUUCUUUUCAAGGUAGUGAAAUGUUUAAAAACAACAAUCACAUUCAACAUAAGGAUAUGGUCCCUGCUCUAGAGGUUUAAAACGAUUGUGUAGGGGGGAGUGGUAUAACUAUCCUUUUAUCACUGUCCUAUAUUAUAUGCCAUUCUUGGCAGAAGACAAGGUGAUGGGAAUGAUGAUGUUUAUAGAAUUGCAGCUGGGAACCUCUCCUAGGGAACAAGAACAACAUAACUUAUGGUCUGCAGCUGUUUUCACAAUUUAGACUAAUCUUGGAUGGGGUGGGGUGGGGUACUUCACAUUUUUUCCUUUUAUAGAAGGGGAACAAUUAAUAGCAAAAUUUUAAUCCUCAAGGUUUUCAGAUCUUAGAGCAGUAUUAGAAAAUGAGGGGUUUUUUUUGGUGUUAGGGAUAAAAUAGAAUGGUUCAAUGUGUGUUUGUGUAUAGAUAGGAUAUGUAAAAGGAGACAAAAAAUAAGCAAAUACAUCAAGAUGUGAGUAAUAUCUGUUGGCUAUAACACCAGUUUUUAUGUGCUUCUUGGAUAAGAAAUCACAAUUUUCUGUUUGCUUUUCCUAUUAGAGGACAUAAAAUCCUUUGAGUUAUUAGGUGAAUUAUGAAAACACAUGGCUUACUUCUAAAUAACAUAAUGAAAAUCGUAAGAACUUACUAUUUUUUUGAUUUGGAAACUUAUUUGUUUUAAACAAUGCUUACCUGGAACACCUCCAACAAACACAGGCUCCCUGUGAUCAAUUGGUUUUGGAUUCAGGGGUCCAACCACAUGGUUCACUUCAGAGUCAACAUCCAGCUGAACCACAUUUGAAUCUCUAAUAACUGAAAUACAGUGAAAUAUUGGGCAAAGACUGGUCAUAAAUGGAACUAGAGUGAUUAAUUUUCACAUGAAGAGAAUAAUUUAUCACAACAAUGACUUUUAUUUAUUCCAGAAUAAAACCCUACACUUUCUCCUAUAUCAGUAAGAUGUCAAUAUAUUAAGUUUAACAAUGUCUAACUGAGCAAUCACUAACAUUUUCCUUCAAAAGGGAAAAUAUUUAGGAUACUCUUGUGCUACUUUUUUGCUUCAUAAGUUACUCAUUAUGUAAACAACUCCACUAUUUUGGCAGCAUUUAUAUUUCAAAUCACAUGUGUAUUCAAUAUACACAUUUUAAUAUAAUAAUAACACUUCUCUUGGUCACGUUUAGAUUAUCAUCCGUCGUCGUCAUGCAUAUCACAUAAAUUCUGCCAGGCCAUCAUUUCUCAGGUGGGUGUGCAGGCUCAUCUUUGUAAAGGAAACCCAGGACACCUAUAUUUUCUCACCUGUUAUUCUGUGCCAUCUGCCAUCACAGAGACUCUGCUUAGGUGUCACUGAGGUAGAAAAGUCUCUGAUGCCAUUGUUGACUUUCACUAUGACCUACAAAAGAGAGUUAACUUAUAUAAUUUAGUUUAAUUUCUCCUUGUCAUUGUAAAACUGAAUUUCUUGAAGCAAUACUUUAACAAAAAUCCACCCAAGGAAACAAUACUCUUAACAAAUAUCCACAUAUGAGUAACUUUGCAAUUUGAACACAAGGGGUCACUCUUUGGUAGGCAAUAGAAAUAGUUUAAACUGGGAGUGCUCCAUGGAGAGACAGCAAACUAAUCACAAGGGAGAAAAGAUGGGAAGAGAGGAAUGAUAGGAAAUGCAAUUGAAUAAAUUCCUUUAAUUUCUCAAGAUAGAAUGUGUUAUACAAAGAAGUUCAAAAUAUUGUUGAAGAUCAUGGGCCUUGAAGCCAGACUGCCUGACUCCCAUCUAACUUACUGUCUGCAUCCGUUUCCUCUUUGUAAAAUAAGAAUGAUAAUAUUACCUACAGCCUAGAGAUAUUGGGAGGACUAAAUGGGUAAAUCCAUAUAAAGCAUCUUGAAUAAUCCCUUACAUGUAGUAAAUACCAUAUCUGGAGAAAUUCUAUUUUUAUACGGUUUAAUAAAAUAUACUAGAAUCCAAAUAAAAAUCAGUUACAUUAAGUUUGAGAGGCAUAAUAUAAAUAUAUCUUUUCCUUAAUAUUUAUUUGAAUACCUUCAUAAGUAGUAUUUUAGUAGUGUUUUAAGUGGUAUUUAAGGGUGAAAGUGGAGUUUAAUUGUAACAAUUAAAAAUUUAUAGUAACAGAAUAAUACAUAUGUCUAGAUAUAUAUGCAUGUAUCUUUGAUGUAUAUUAUCUGAUAAACAUUUAUAGAUAUUCAGGAAGAUAGAUGUUUUUGUGUUGUUGAUUUUGAUAAUUGGGUUUUUUUUUUUGCUUUAAUUUGCUGAAAAAAAAAAUGACAAUUCAUUGGUUAAAACUCUGUGCUGUGAUUGGUGAUCUUCUUUUCCUGAAACCUUUGCCGUAAUUUCCUGACAUUGUUCUAAUCAGAUGAAUCCCAACAUAUCAAUGUGAAUUCUAAUGUUUCCUACAUUUAAAUUUCAUGUUACAGCUUUCUGGUUUUUAUUGAUUGAUAAGAUAAAAUAAUUAUGUGAAAUAAAUCUGUUUUUGAUUAGAAUGAAAGGUUAAAUGAGACAGACUGUUAAAUUUUUCAAAAAGAUGUUACCUGCCCAUUUUUCAUGUGGACAUUUAGGUACUCCCCAUUGACACUGUGGCCAUGGACAAGCGUUCCAGAGUUGCUUCUGGGACGAACUUCAAAUGCAAUUUCAAACUUCAAUCCAAUGUUGAAAGACUCAUCUGUGGAGAGAAAUACUAUAAGCCUCAAGAACAGCAAAAUAAAAUUUGUAACUAUGGCAUGAUUUUAUAAUUAUAUAUUUUUGCAUCUAGUUUCAAAAAUUCAUUGCAUUUCUCAACAGGUAAGAAGAAAAGGCUAUUUUCCAACACCACAUAAAACUCAGGGGAGUAAUAUAAAUAACACAUCAUUCUUGUGGGGCAUGGAGGUGGGGCCAGCACACUAAAAAUACUCUAUGUGCUAUGGAAGUUCAGGGGAAGAGAAAUGAAUUCCAACUAGCAGCACCAUUUACUAUUUCAGGAGUGAGAAGGAGGACAGGACAAUCUGGGCAGAGGAGGGAGCUUGGACCCAGCUACAGAGGAUGGAACAUGUGGACAGCAUAGUGAAGCCCAGGCUGGCUGGAUAGUCCCUGUAAGGGCAGAAGCAGGCAUGGGUCUCACUGAGUAGCUUAGCACCUCAACAUUGCUGAAGCUGGCUUUGAACUUGCCAUUCUCCUGCCUCAGCCUCCUGAGCUGCUGGGAUUACAGGCAGCUCCAGAAGGAGGAAGACUUUCUUCUAGGACUCGGAGACCAUCAAUGAUUAGUCGACCACUGCUCUUUUCCCGAAUAAAUAUCACCUGGAUAGAGAGAAAGAAAAUAGCAUAUCUUAGGUAAAUCCUAAGAUGGAGGAAAAGGCUGUUCUAUAUCUGCUCCCAACUCUGAAGUUGAAACACCAUGGGAAAUAUGCAGAAAGUUCAUAAAAAGAUGGUCAUUUCUCUGAAGUUUCUUGUGGCCAACAUUAAACAUGAAAACCAAGCGACCAUGGGCCAAGAAUAGAGUCAUGAAGUCAUUCUCUUCUUGAUUGGAGACAUAGAAAAUCAUACCGUGGGAAGAACGAGUUUUCAGACUUAUGGAAAACUGAGAUCUGGCCUGGAGCUCCUGGAGAACAAAAUAACAUCUGGUGUGGGGGACAGCAAAAGAGGACUUGGCUGGGAUGGAGUACACAAUCUCCUAGAUCUAGCCUAGUGUGGCUGUGCUUCCUCCAUGGGGGCCUGUGACUGAUCAUAUGCAGUUUUUUUCCUCCCUUGGAAUGCAUAAUGCACACAUAGAAAAGAGCACAAGUCACAAGGAUGCAACUUGAUGAGAGAAACCUAAACUACAGAAGAUGGUACUACUUUUUUCAAAUUUUCAGCCACUGAACAGUGAUUCUUAAAGUAUGGUCAAAUAUCAUCAGCCAGUAUCAUCAGCUUCAAAAGGAACUUACUGGAAAUGCAAAUUCUUUGACCCAUCCCAAACCUGCUGAAUGAGGAAUUCUGGGAGUAGGGUCCAGCAACCUGGGUUUAACAAGCCUCCAGGGGAUUCUGAUGCACACUAGUAUUUGAGAACCACUGGACCAGAGAAUGAAUAUUUUCUUGUGUAGUCUCCUGCCUAAGGGCAGGACCGUGGUCACUGAGCAUUAGCGGUAGGGCAAGAGCAAGCUUCUGACUAGAGCCAAACUAAAUUCAGAUUGAGGAGAUAUGUCAAUGCAGGUUAAGGAAACAUCACUUCUUUGUACUUUGGACACAAGGUGUUUCUCCAGGAUAAGGAAUAAAAUAAUAGCAAUUCUCAGUUUAUUGUGUUGAUUAAUAUUUGUUGUUUGGAUCACUGACCAUAACAGUCAUUUUAUAGCAUAAAAAUCUUUAAAAAUUAAAAAUAAUAAAGUAUAUGAAAGUGUUA